rnacentral:rRNA from 1 species
UACGAAGGGGGCUAGCGUUGCUCGGAAUUACUGGGCGUAAAGCGCACGUAGGCGGAUUGUUAAGUCGGGGGUGAAAUCCUGGAGCUCAACUCCAGAACUGCCUUCGAUACUGGCGAUCUCGAGUUCGGGAGAGGUGAGUGGAACUCCGAGUGUAGAGGUGAAAUUCGUAGAUAUUCGGAAGAACACCAGUGGCGAAGGCGACUCACUGGCCCGUUACUGACGCUGAGGCGCGAAAGCGUGGGGAGCAAACAGG